UACAGAGGGUGCAAGCGUUGUUCGGAAUUACUGGGCGUAAAGCGCGCGCAGGCGGGUUUGUAAGUCGGACGGGAAAUCCCCAGGCUCAACCUGGGAACUGCGUCUGAUACUGGAUGGCUUGAAUCCGGGAGAGGGAUGCAGAAUUCCAGGUGUAGCGGUGAAAUGCGUAGAUAUCUGGAGGAAUACCGGUGGCGAAGGCGGCAUCCUGGACCGGCAUUGACGCUGAGGAGCGAAAGCCAGGGGAGCAAACGGG
rnacentral:rRNA from 1 species